rnacentral:tRNA from 1 species
GCCUGGGUGGCUCAGUGGGUUAAGCCUCUGCCUUUGGCUCAGGUCGAGGUCCCAGGGUCGUGGGAUCGAGCCCCACAUCAGGCU